GACGAACGCUGGCGGCGUGCCUAAUACAUGCAAGUCGAACGCAGUGGGGACGGGUGCGUAACACGUGGGUAACCUCCCAUCAGAGGGGAUAACACUUGGAAACAGGCGCUAAACCGAUCCUGAUGGAUGGACCCGCGGUGCAUUCGCUAGUGGGUGAGGUAACGGCGUACCAAGGCCACGAUGCAUAGCCGACCUGCGAGGGGGAGCGGCCACACUGGAACUGAGACACGGCCCAGACUCCUACGGGAGGCAGCAGUAGGGAAUAGUCUGCAAUGGACGAAAGACUGACCGAGCAACGCCGCGUGAGUGAAGAAGGUUUUCUGGUCGUAAAACUCUGUUGUUAGAGAAGCGGUAUCUGACCAGAAAGCAACGGCUAACUACGUGCCAGCAGCCGCGGUAAUAC
rnacentral:rRNA from 1 species